CUCUCAUUUGAAACAGGACCAGAAAACCACAAACCCUCUGACUCCAGGAGCUGGGAUUUUAAGAAAAGCUGCCAGUGGUCACGCAAAUACUGAGGAAAAUGAUGGCAUGUAAUGAGCAGGGGCACUGUGACUGAAUGUGAGAGGAGAGCCUGCAGCAAGGCACCACAGCAAGAACGAGGCCCCACCCAAAUGAGUUGUGCACAUGUGGACUGAUGCCAAUGGAACCAAUGGAAUGUCUCUGGGUACACAUUCACUGGGACUGAGGUCCUACCACAUUCUGGGGAUCUGAGUGACGAGGGUGUAGCUCUCCACUCCUUUAUUUGCCUUGCACUGAGAUGAAGCUUGAAGUGUUCCGUGAAGGAAGAAUUGUACUUGAUUCCCUCAGCUCAUAAUUCACUGCCCGAGACCAAGUCCAUCAACUUGCAAUGGAGAGGACAAAGUUAGUGCCCCGUGGUGUUUGCUUUCAAAAAGGAAACAACAAGGAGAUUUUUACUUCUAUCAGUAAAAGACUUCCUUGGACAUUAAUAGGUUGACUGCUAUGUCGCUGAACUUAGUGCAUGAAAGGUCAGCCUUUGAAACGCUAAAUAAGUUGAAGAGGAUGUAGAAAACAUAUCACAUAUGGGAAAGUGUGCAUCCUACAGUGGCAAUUGUGUUAAAGAAUCAGUUUGUGGGAGAUAUUAUGCCACAGGAGUGCCAGUCUAUGACGAUUAAAUUACAGCUACUGGUCGAGAAGGAGAAAUGAAAUCAAGAAAAAUGGAUCUGGGGGCUUUAACACAUUCAAAACUGAAGACCUUCCUGGAACACUACCAAUUUAUUUCCUCCAAAGGCUUCAGCAGAAGGGAGAGCUAUUCACAGUACCAACUUUUUUGCAGCAAAAGAAGGAUUAACUCUGACCAAGGUCAGAGCAACUAGUCACCAAUAUUCUUCAUGGGAGAGUCAGGCCUCCUGCAUCCCCAGGAAAUAUCACCUGAAAUAGCCACCUACACACAGGAGUUUAACAGGGAAUUCUGUAGUGUCAGAAAUGUGUGGCAUUCUGAAAAGUCUAGCGAAGCCGUAAGACAAUUAUAUGGCAGCUUCCCCAGGUUUCUCAGUCUAAAGUGUGGGGGAGAGAUAAUAUGUUGUUAUGCUAGCCUACCUCACACUGCAUGUGAUACUCAAUUAGCUGUUUGAAGUUAUAAAUUGUUGAGUGAUGAUAGAGCAUAACUUUUCAAAAUAAAUGACAUCGUAUUUUUUGCACACUUUUUAGUACUGAAAUCUACCAGAAAGGGCUGUCUGACUUUGAUCCUUACUGUGCUUUAUUUUCAUGUUUGAUGAUUCUUCCCAUUUCCAAUACCAAAUGAUGGUCAUUUUCCAGCACUUCCAAUUUAUAAGCAAGACCUCGUAUAAUAAGAAAAAAAUAAUCUAAUCAUUGUGUUGUCUUGGCAUUUCUUUUCCAGCUGACAACACUGAGUACCUGCUGAUUUGAAUACUUUUUCAGAUAUAGGAAACUCAACAUUAGAGAACACAAAGAGUCCCUGUUUUGCAAAUCUUUAGUGUUAAAGGUAUAAAGGGAACCCUGUUACAUUUGAAUUCAACUGUUGGAAUGUUUUUAAGUACUUCAGAUUUAAUUCUGCUGAAUAGAACAUAGUACAGAAGACAUACAGUUUAAAAUAAACAUGGUGAAAAACAUUCUGUUGGCAAAUUAAUAUCUGGUAAACAUCCUUGUAUCAAGCAGUUUCAGGACAGAUAGUAUUUUUCAUGUGUGACAUUUUGGAUUCUGUGAUGAUCAGGUAAGUUCAUUUUAGAUUAUAUUUUGCCACUCUAGAGUAGACAUUUGACUCUGUCCUGUACAGGGAGUCUUUUUUUGUCAUUAGGAAAUCACUUUAUUAUGCUUUGA